rnacentral:rRNA from 1 species
UACGUAGGGUGCAAGCGUUAAUCGGAAUUACUGGGCGUAAAGCGUGCGCAGGCGGUUGUGCAAGACAGAUGUGAAAUCCCCGGGCUUAACCUGGGAAUUGCAUUUGUGACUGUACGGCUAGAGUGUGUCAGAGGGGGGUAAAAUUCCACGUGUAGCAGUGAAAUGCGUAGAGAUGUGGAGGAAUACCGAUGGCGAAGGCAGCCCCCUGGGAUAACACUGACGCUCAUGCACGAAAGCGUGGGGAGCAAACAGG